AGUUGCAGGGUAUAGACCCGAAACCCGGUGAUCUAGCCAUGGGCAGGUUGAAGGUUGGGUAACACUAACUGGAGGACCGAACCGACUAAUGUUGAAAAAUUAGCGGAUGACCUGUGGCUGGGGGUGAAAGGCCAAUCAAACCGGGAGAUAGCUGGUUCUCCCCGAAAGCUAUUUAGGUAGCGCCUCGUGAACUCAUCUCCGGGGGUAGAGCACUGUUUCGGCUAGGGGGCCAUCCCGGCUUACCAACCCGAUGCAAACUGCGAAUACCGGAGAAUGUUAUCACGGGAGACACACGGCGGGUGCUAACGUCCGUCGUGAAGAGGGAAACAACCCAGACCGCCAGCUAAGGUCCCAAAGUCAUGGUUAAGUGGGAAACGAUGUGGGAAGGCCCAGACAGCCAGGAUGUUGGCUUAGAAGCAGCCAUCAUUUAAAGAAAGCGUAAUAGCUCACUGGUCGAGUCGGCCUGCGCGGAAGAUGUAACGGGGCUAAACCAUGCACCGAAGCUGCGGCAGCGACACUUUAGUGUUGUUGGGUAGGGGAGCGUUCUGUAAGCCGUUGAAGGUGUCCUGUGAGGGGUGCUGGAGGUAUCAGAAGUGCGAAUGCUGACAUAAGUAACGAUAAAGCGGGUGAAAAGCCCGCUCGCCGGAAGACCAAGGGUUCCUGUCCAACGUUAAUCGGGGCAGGGUGAGUCGACCCCUAAGGCGAGGCCGAAAGGCGUAGUCGAUGGGAAACGGGUUAAUAUUCCCGUACUUGGUGUUACUGCGAAGGGGGGACGGAGAAGG
rnacentral:rRNA from 1 species